rnacentral:rRNA from 1 species
GACAGAGGAUGCAAGCGUUAUCCGGAAUGAUUGGGCGUAAAGCGUCUGUAGGUGGCUUUUUAAGUCUGCCGUCAAAUCCCAGGGCUUAACCCUGGACAGGCGGUGGAAACUACCAAGCUGGAGUACGGUAGGGGCAGAGGGAAUUUCCGGUGGAGCGGUGAAAUGCGUAGAGAUCGGAAAGAACACCAGUGGCGAAAGCGCUCUACUGGGCCAUAACUGACACUGAGGGACGAAAGCUAGGGGAGCGAAUGGG